UGCGUAACGCGUAUGCAACCUACCAUCAACAGGGGGAUAACACUGAGAAAUUGGUACUAAUACCCCAUAAUAUCUCAUGCGGCAUCGCAUGGGGUUGAAAACUCCGGUGGUUGAUGAUGGGCAUGCGUUGUAUUAGCUAGUUGGUGAGGUAACGGCUCACCAAGGCGACGAUACAUAGGGGGACUGAGAGGUCAACCCCCCACAUUGGUACUGAGACACGGACCAAACUCCUACGGGAGGCAGCAG
rnacentral:rRNA from 1 species